UGGGGAAUUUUGGACAAUGGGCGCAAGCCUGAUCCAGCCGUGCCGCGUGCGGGAAGAAGGCCUUCGGGCUGUAAACCGCUUUUGUCAGGGAAGAAAAGGUUCUGGCUAAUACCUGGGACUCAUGACGGUACCUGAAGAAUAAGCACCGGCUAACUACGUGCCAGCAGCCGCGGUAAUACGUAGGGUGCAAGCGUUAAUCGGAAUUACUGGGCGUAAAGCGUGCGCAGGCGGUUAUGCAAGACAGAGGUGAAAUCCCCGGGCUCAACCUGGGAACUGCCUUUGUGACUGCAUGGCUAGAGUACGGUAGAGGGGGAUGGAAUUCCGCGUGUAGCAGUGAAAUGCGUAGAUAUGCGGAGGAACACCGAUGGCGAAGGCAAUCCUCUGGACCUGUACUGACGCUCAUGCACGAAAGCGUGGGGAGCAAACAGGAUUAGAUACCCUGGUAGUCCACGCCCUAAACGAUGUCAACUGGUUGUUGGGAGGGUUUCUUC
rnacentral:rRNA from 1 species